AAGCACCCUGUGGAUGUUGACUGUAAUUUUCCCCCUGGGGAAAAAGAAGUAAUUCACUUCCAGAGGAUUUGCCUGGAGGAGCCACAGACAGGCAAAGUCCAAACCUGUCAGCUACUGUAUUCCCUCUCUCCCCAACCCAAGCUGGCCACAGAAUAAGGGUAUAGGGUCUGCCUUUCCUUGCACCACCUGGACCCUUCUCUGCCUGGGCCUCCACCAACAAAGGGCUCAGGAGGUGAGACCCUGGUCCACACCCGCCAACCCUGUAGGCCAGGUUUAUAGCGUGGACAGCGCUGCCCUCUAGUGUUUGCAACCGGGAGCCCUGAGGGCGCCAUCAGCUUCAGAAUUUCUCUUUUACAGGCUAAGCAAGAUCUGAAGCACCUCAGAGCUCCGACCUCCAAGUUCUCCUCCACCGCCACCGCCCUCAUCGCACCCUGGCUCACCUUUUCAUCCCACCCACCCCCUUCGCUGUUCAGUGGUGUCCUGCGCGCCUGCAAACCUGCCUGGUGAUUUAGUAAACUGCUCCCUGCUCGUGUUCCUGUUCCUGCUCCUGCUCCUCCUCCUCCUCCACCUCCUCCUGCCAGCUCUCGCUCACGCCUCCUCUUCCAGUCGGGGCACCCAGACUUCGCAAAGCGCAGCGCCUGCCGCCUGCAGCGCCACGGGGCAGCCCAGCGCAUCGCGCUCCCAGCUCCUUCUGGCCGCAGCCAGGGGGCACGGGCGCUGGCAAAGGACUCUCGAGGGCCCAACGCCCCUGGACUCAGCGUGCUCCAGAGCUGGGUGUUGAGAGAAGCUGUGCUUUCACAAAGCUCGGGAGAGAACGGAGCGCGUUCGGUGUGAGACUUGGGGAGCCAGCGGGACGCCCCAGGUCGCCCAGUACGACGCGGCUGCACGCACCGUCCACAAGGCUCAUCAGCCCUCCUACGGCAAUUCUGAAAGGCAAAGGGACCAUCUGGGAUGCAAGUGGACCUGUCUGGGGAGCCAGAAGAGCUUCAGAGAUUUUAAUAUUCCUGGUGUGGGGUAAGCAUCAGCCUUCAGGAAGUUCUCCUCCACCCCCAACUUUCACCACAAAUUGCUGCUUCCCAUUUUUAUGAUGAAACUGGUCAUGCCAAAAGGUGAAAGUACAUUGUUUUUAUUCUAAAUUUGUGAUCAAAAAUUUACUGAGGUUCUGAUAUCUGGAAUAAAACAGCCUAAAAAUUUCA
rnacentral:lncRNA from 1 species